CAGCCGCCGCGGUAAUACGUAGGUGGCAAGCGUUGUCCGGAAUUAUUGGGCGUAAAGGGCUCGCAGGCGGUUUCUUAAGUCUGAUGUGAAAGCCCCCGGCUCAACCGGGGAGGGUCAUUGGAAACUGGGAAACUUGAGUGCAGAAGAGGAGAGUGGAAUUCCACGUGUAGCGGUGAAAUGCGUAGAUCUCGAGAGGAACACCAAUGGCGAAGGCAGCUUCUUGGUCCAUUCCUGACGUUCAUACGCGAAAGCGUGGGGAGCAAACAGGAUUAGAGACCCCCGUAGUCCCUGUCUCUUAUAC
rnacentral:rRNA from 1 species